CUUCCCCGAUUUCAUUACCUCCCCCAUCUCUCAGCGCCCGUCGGUUCUAUUAUUCUCCCUGUCGGCUCUUGGAGCUCCGCUCUCUUUUUCCCUCCGGGCCCCUAUUCGAUUUCUAGGGUUUUUGCUUCUACGAUCGAUCUCUAGGGUUUCCUGAGACUUCAAUCCUUUUACGCAUGGCGGAGGUUGUCGACAUGCCCGCCGAAGCCCUAGAUCGCCGGCGGGACCGUCCGCAGGAAAGGCGAGAGAGCCCGACCGACAACGGAUCUCCGCCCCCGCCACCGCCUCCCUUGAGAAGAAGGGACAGGGAUUCGAAGGAGAGGAGGGACGAGAGGGACGACGGGCCUCCGAACCGGCGGGACGAUUACCACGACGUCAGGAACCGGUCGCCUGCGCUCCCGCCACCUCCGCCGCUCGGGCUUUCGAGGGGGGAGAGGGAUCGGGAGUACCGGAGGCGGAACAGCCCCAGCCCGGCGCCUCACGGUCACCGCAGGCACUCACCUCCCCGCCGGUCCCCUCCGCCUGGGCCCUUUAAGCGGUCCCGGAGGGAUGAUGGCGGAUACGACCGGCGCCGGGGUAGUCCUAGAGGAGGGUAUGGCUCAGACGACAGAAGGUAUGGCUACGAUUAUGGUGGAGGGUACGAUCGAGGUGGCUCGGGAAGCAGAGGUGGUUAUGCUGAUGAAAGGCCUUAUGGCCGUCACGCAAAUCGUCCAUCAGAUUGGCCUGAUUUGGGACGUGGUGGUUUCGGUGAUGGAGCAGAGGUCAUUCAAAGGGAAGGAUUGAUGUCCUACAAGCAGUUCAUCCAAGAGCUUGAAGAUGAUAUUUUACCUGCUGAAGCUGAGCGCAGGUAUGAGGAGUACAGGUCAGAGUACAUUUCAACUCAGAAACGUACUUAUUUCGACACUCACAAGGAUGAAGAAUGGCUGAAAGACAAAUAUCAUCCGACCAACUUAGUGACGGUUAUCGAAAGGCGGAAUGAACGUGCAAGAUCAACUGCAAAGGAAUUCUUGCUUGAUCUGCAGAGUGGAACAUUGGACCUGGGCCCAGGAUUAACAGCCCCAGUAGUAAGCAAAUCUGGAAAUGGUAGUGAUCCAAACUCUGAGGAUGAAAUGGACUCUAGUGGCAAAAGGAGAAGGCAUGGUAGGGGCCCAGCAAAAGAAAAUGAUCUGCUUUCAGCUGCUCCCAGAGCUCAUCCAGUUAGUUCUGAACCACGGAGAAUUCAAAUUGACAUAGAACAAGCUCAGGCGCUGGUCCGUAAACUUGACACUGAGAAGGGUAUUGAGGACAAUGUUCUAUCCAGCAGUGAUCAUGAUAAAUUGGAUGGAGAGAAAUCCCAUGGUGGAUCUAUGGGGCCAAUUAUAAUAAUACGAGGCCUGACUACCGUCAAGGGUCUCGAGGGUUUUGAGCUGUUGGAUACCCUAAUUACUUAUUUGUGGCGUGUCCAUGGUGUAGAUUACUAUGGCAUGUCUGAGACAAAUGAAGCCAAGGGACUCCGGCAUGUGAGAGCUGACAGUAAGAGCUUUGAUGGAUCUAAUACCAGUGGAGCUGAUUGGGAGAACAAACUUGAUUCAUUCUGGCAGGAAAGACUGCAUGGGCGGGAUCCCCUGGAAAUUUUGACAGCCAAGGAUAAAAUUGAUGCAGCAGCAGUUGAGGCUCUGGAUCCUCAUGUGCGGAAAAUAAGAGAUGAAAAAUAUGGUUGGAAGUAUGGCUGUGGAGCCAAGGGCUGCACAAAGCUUUUCCAUGCUGCUGAGUUUGUUCAUAAGCAUCUUAGACUCAAACACCCUGACCUCGUGAUGGAGCUGACCUCAAAAGUCCGGGAAGAUCUGUAUUUUCAAAAUUAUUUGAAUGAUCCAAGCGCACCUGGUGGAACGCCUGUCAUGCAGCAAUCUGCACCGAAGGUCAAGGCACCAAGACGCAGACCAGUUUUAGAAAACCGUCUUAGAGAUGAACGUGGCAACCGUAGGGAGCAUGACAGGGCUGAUAGAGAUGACGACAGAUAUGAUAGGGCUGAUCACUCACCAUCUCAUGAUGCAAAUGGUGCGCCGGAAGGGAGGAGCCAUGAUGAAACAAUGUUUGACGCAUUUGGUGUACAAGGGCUGCAUGGAGGUCCUUUUCCUGCCGAUGUGCCCCCUCCACCAGUAUUGAUGCCUGUACCUGGUGCUGGUCCAUUGGGACCUUUUGUUCCUGCCCCACCAGAAGUUGCUAUGCGCAUGCUGAGAGAGCAGGGUGGUCCAUCGUCAUUUGAAGCAAAUGGUGGCCCUCGUGGUAGGAAAGGAUGGCUUAGUCCCCAAGUGGGUGGUUCGGCGCCAAUUCUUGCUGCACCUCCAGCAUUUCGACACGAUCCUCGUCGCAUUCGAAGCUACCAAGACCUUGAUGCCCCAGAGGAUGAAGUUACUGUUAUAGACUACAGGAGCUUGUAGACUUUUCAUUUGCUGUUAUACUUUGGAAGCAUAUUUGUACCAUAAUCGAGAAGAGGUGACAUUAAUAAAUGAAUUUGAUCAGGAUGCUUGGUGUGUUUGCAUAUGGAAUACCAAAUAUGUGCAUUGUCAGAUCAUAUAACCAUUUCUUCCUUUUUAGUCAGUUUUCCAACUUGGCUGUGACCCUGAACACUUGAAUGCUGUUGUUUUGAGUAACAUAAAGGGCGGCCAAUGCAAGAGCUGCCCAUCAUUGCAGGAUCCGGGAAAUAUCAUGUUUGAAUGCAAGUACUAGUCUACGGAUAAAUCUAUGAGGGUGGAUGCAUGAUAUUAAUAGGGAUGAAUCAAUCAUAUGUUCAUGGAAAUUCUUCUCUGGAUCUUCUAUAAUAUGGCCCUUUCAACUGGAGCUGUGGUAUCUUGUCAUAAGGAUGGUUCCAGACUGGAGGUUUUGUUGUUUUGUGCUACAGUAUUAGCCAGUUUGCUUGCUGGUUGCCUUAUGUAUAUUUGUGCGUAUAUAUCACAAAGCUGAUGAGCUGAUUCAAGGAGCUAAAUGAACAAGCUCAAAAGCUUGUGGGCA